UGGGGAAUAUUGCACAAUGGGCGCAAGCCUGAUGCAGCCAUGCCGCGUGUGUGAAGAAGGCCUUCGGGUUGUAAAGCACUUUCAGCGAGGAGGAAGGUGGUGAGCUUAAUACGCUCAUCAAUUGACGUUACUCGCAGAAGAAGCACCGGCUAACUCCGUGCCAGCAGCCGCGGUAAUACGGAGGGUGCAAGCGUUAAUCGGAAUUACUGGGCGUAAAGCGCACGCAGGCGGUUUGUUAAGUCAGAUGUGAAAAUCCCCGGGCUCAACCUGGGAACUGCAUUUGAAACUGGCAAGCUAGAGUCUCGUAGAGGGGGGUAGAAUUCCAGGUGUAGCGGUGAAAUGCGUAGAGAUCUGGAGGAAUACCGGUGGCGAAGGCGGCCCCCUGGACGAAGACUGACGCUCAGGUGCGAAAGCGUGGGGAGCAAAACAGGAUUAGAUACCCUGGUAAGUCCACGCUGUAAAACGAUGUCGAUUUGGAGGUUGUGCCCUUGAGGCGUGGCUUCCGGAGCUAACGCGUUAAAUCGACCGCCU
rnacentral:rRNA from 1 species